AAAGACAUACCUGAAUAUCACUCAUGAUGAUCAAUAUGUUUGGCUUUUUAUGCACUCACCUUGUUAGGUAAAGCUUGACAAUAUCCAUAAUACCUCUAGUAUGGUGUGACUUCUUCCUUACUUCGAAAUACACAGGGCACUUAUGUUGGUUAAGUUGUAUACGUUGCAUCCGAUAUUUUUCUUCAGUAGUGUCGACAUCCUGGAAAGAUCCUUCACAAUAAGCAAUGGUAAGUAAAGCGAUC
rnacentral:lncRNA from 1 species